GCCAGGUGAGGUGGUGUGCCUGUAGUCCCAGCUACUCAGGAGGCUGAGGUGAGAGGAUCACUUGAGCCUAGGCGUUCUGGGCUGUAGUGCACUGUGCUGAUGAGAUGUCCACAUUAAGUUCAGCAUCGAUAAUGGUGACCUCCUUGGAACAGGGGACCAACAGCUUGCCUAACGAGGGGUGAACCAGCCCAGGUUGGAAACAAAGCAGCUCAAAACUCCCAUGGUGAUCAGUAGUGGGAUUGUGCCUAUGAAUAGCCACUGCACUCCAGCCAAGGCAACACAGUGAGACUCCAUCU
rnacentral:SRP_RNA from 10 species